rnacentral:rRNA from 1 species
CCUACGGGGGGCUGCAGUGGGGAAUAUUGCACAAUGGGCGCAAGCCUGAUGCGGCCAUGCCGCGUGUGUGAAGAAGGCCUUCGGGUUGUAAAGCACUUUCAGCGGGGAGGAAGGCGUUAAGGUUAAUAACCUUGGCGAUUGACGUUACCCGCAGAAGAAGCACCGGCUAACUCCGUGCCAGCAGCCGCGGUAAUACGGAGGGUGCAAGCGUUAAUCGGAAUUACUGGGCGUAAAGCGCGCGCAGGCGGUCUGUCAAGUCGGAUGUGAAAUCCCCGGGCUCAACCUGGGAACUGCAUUCGAAACUGGCAGGCUAGAGUCUUGUAGAGGGGGGUAGAAUUCCAGGUGUAGCGGUGAAAUGCGUAGAGAUCUGGAGGAAUACCGGUGGCGAAGGCGGCCCCCUGGACAAAGACUGACGCUCAGGUGCGAAAGCGUGGGGAGCAAACAGGAUUAGAUACCCCAGUAGUC